rnacentral:rRNA from 1 species
UACGUAGGGUGCAAGCGUUGUCCGGAUUUAUUGGGCGUAAAGAGCUCGUAGGCGGUUUGUCGCGUCGGAUGUGAAAACCCAGGGCUCAACCCUGGGCCUGCAUUCGAUACGGGCAAACUAGAGUAUGGCAGGGGAGAAUGGAAUUCCCGGUGUAGCAGUGAAAUGCGUAGAGAUCGGGAGGAACACCAGUGGCGAAGGCGGCCUUCUGGACCAAUACUGACGCUCGUGCACGAAAGCGUGGGGAGCAAACAGG